rnacentral:lncRNA from 1 species
UUCACAAAAAAAACGGAGUUACUAUUCACUUAAGUGAAAACUAAUAAUCGCGUAACUUCUCCGUUUUAGCUCAGUUUCUCCUGAAACUUGACGAGUGCUUAUGUAAUUAAAUUACACACAUAAACAUCAUCAACAGAGAGUUUAAUUGCACUGUAAAAAAAAAUCUCAGUCCUUACAUUAUCCCCCCCUUAAAAGAAAUUUCGUCCCCGAAACUUGACCACAUACCCACCAAAAUCGAACUCGGAUAUUACUCCACCACUGUAAUAUCACCCUUGAGUACUGGUCAAUUACAUCUGGAUAUAUCAACUUCCGUAGAAAGGGAAAGAAUAGGACUGCGGUUCCACCUGGACAAAUCGAGGGAAAACGUACUAACCCAAAAAUCUACGGACCAAAACUCACCGGGAUCAACACUAUCCUAUAACUUGCGGACAAAGACAGUCCCGCGACUAGGAUUAUUCGAUCCCAAAUCGCCAAUUCUGAGAUAAUACAUCAACACUCAGAAAUUCUAGGUCCACUGAACCUUGGUCCGCACACCAGUAACCGACUCGACUACGUCGAAGGUUCACGCAGAAGAGACUUGAGUCAACACUACUUUAAUCUAAAGUCUAUUUACGUAGACUUGAAACGAAAACUCCGACUAUUCAACAACGUCAACCUGCUCACCACGAGCGAAUACAAAACGUUGUUCUGAGACCUGAGUCAAACUCUCACCUUGGUGACCACAGUCUCCCAACAGUAACCACACAAACUGCCAAAACCUCUAGCAAAGGAUAGUCACAUACGACAAUUUAUAGUCCUACGUCCAAGACCUCACUUUUCACCUGACCCAAAAAGGUCCAACCGACAAUACCAAUUACGCUAGACAAUUUUGUCUCUUCAAUUGUAACCGAUACCAAUAAAACAACAUACCCACCAUGUAAGCCCAUUACUUGAUGCACAGGUCGCCAAUCGCAAAAGCGAUACUAACCAUCGGUGAUGCUCAACACCUGUCUCUACAAGACCCUGUCGCUGCCGUCCUACAAGGGACCCUAGCGAUCGAUGUUCCCGGCAACACCCGAUUACUUGUCUCAUUGAGACCUAGGCGCACCUGUCAUCAAAUGACCGGACAAGCAUACUAACCCAAGAUUUGCAUGAUAAGUCAAGUCGCAAACCUUUUACGUUAUCACAUAUGGUGGCAAUCAAAGCCAACAACCAGGUUCAAGUCACUCAACCACUGAUUCUAAACUUCAUGACAACAGACUGAGACUACUACCCAAGAAACUCUUAGCUGUAGAAAGCACAACAAUAGGACCAACGAUCACCUAGACUCGGACCAAAGUCAAAACCAUCAGAAGUGACGAAAAGUCAACUGCGCAAAAACCUGCCAAGGAGUAAUCCAAGGUUCGCCACAAGGUCAGAGGCUCAAGCGUUCUCAUAAACAACUAGGAAAAACACCGACCCAAUCAAAAAGUCCCAAACGGGAAGAUGGUAUUUCGUCCCUCUUUCGACAGUAUAUUGUCUGCAGCCAAUAUACUUAUCAAAAGAAAAGCGAAAUAUCCGAAGAUCCACUACCAACAAUAAGUUGGAAGCACAACGCGAUAAAGUAUCAAGCCACUUGAUACCUCUCCACUGAACCAGAAGCUCACAUCCAAUACUAUCAAAACAUCGACUUUACAAGUCGACACUCGAAAUUAGAACGACCCUGGAAUAUCUCUUUAUUGAACCCAUAAGUUCACCACUAAAAUCGUCGAAACUGCGACUUGCAAGUCGACGAUCGAAAACAGACCGGCCAUAAACCGACUCACUGGGAGUCGUAAAGCUUUCAACAUUCGAAAGCUACUAGCGACACUAAGCCGCGCACCGUACCAACUGAGGCUCUAGAAAACGGUUUCUCUAACCGAUUUUCACACCUCAACCGAGCUAUAAUCAAAGCUCCGAGAUUUCUAGCAAUACUUGGAGUAACUCGAGUCAAGACGGAUCCUACUAAACCAUCUACUAUCCCCUGACACCAAUUUAGGUGUUAGAACAAUCGCAUACGAUGUAUGCCUCAACGAAAACAUGACACCAAAACUGUGUCAAUCCGACUCUAGUAGGACGAAUGNAAGUCCGUGGUGUCGGUAAUCACCUUGUAAUCUUUUCUCUUAAUGGAUUAUUUUUUCGCGUGUUGGUCCUGUGGGUUUUUCUCCAAAUUGGAGUUUUCCCAUGUAAAUCUCAGUGUGAUUUUUAUUUUUCGCAUUUUUUUUUAUCACAUUGAGAUUUGUGGUUUUUGGCUAUUUCACCUAUUCACCCCCCUCUAGGUGAUAGAUACAAUCUAGAUAGAUCCUUGGGCUCCUCAAAACUUUCAAUUGGUAUCAGAGCGGGAUCUAGAUAAAUUGUUAUCUAAUGGCCGAAGGCGGAAACAUUAAUCGACCACCGCUCUUCGACGGCACAAAUUAUGCUUAUUGGAAAGUUCACAUGAGAGCUUUUCUAAUUGCAAUCGAUGAGCGCGUUUGGCAAUCAAUCGAAUUUGGAUGGAAAAAUCCUAUUGAAAAGGUCGAGAAUAUUGAAACGCCAAAACCACGGAACAAGUGGACGAAAGAAGAAAACGAGACAUCUUCGUUUAACGGCAAGGGCAUAAACGCUUUAUUUAAUGCAUUGUCUCAAACGGAGUUUAUUCGUGUUUCGGCAUGCGAAACGGCAAAGGAAAUUUGGGAUACUCUACAAGUUACGCAUGAAGGAACGAGCUUAGUAAAGGUCCAAAAAUUGCAAAUGCUAACAAGCAAGUUUGAUUCUAUUUCUAUGGAUGAAAACGAGACCUUUACCAAGUAUUAUACACGUCUACAAGACGUUGUGAAUACAUGUGCUAACUUAGGAGAGAAAAUCCCGGAUUCUAAAGUUGUUCGUAAAAUUCUUCGAACUCUUCCGGAGCGCUUUCGGGCAAAGGUUGCCGCGAUCGAAACGGUUAAGCAUCCGAACGAAAAGAGAGAAAAUCCCGGAUUCAAAGAUUAUUAGAAAGAUUCUUCGAACUCUUCCGGAACGCUUUCGGGCAAAGGUUGCCGCGAUCGAUACGGUUAAGCAUCCGGACGAGAUGAAAGUCGAAGAAUUAGUAGGUGCUUUGCAAACUUAUGAGAUGACUUUUCCUACCAAUCAAUUUUCUUCCAAGUCUUUCUCUAAAAGCACAGGGGUUGCGUUGAAAUCGACGAAAGAGGAAGACGGAGACUCGAAUUCCGAUGGAGAGAUCUCAAUUGCCGACUUCGAACAUCAAUUGGCGCUUCUACCAAAGAAGUUUCGUCGGAAUUUCCGAAAGAAGAACAAUUCGGACAAGGCUACAUCGUCUAAGCAGCAAACGUUUUCUAAAUCUUCUACAUCUAAAGAGAAGAAGCGUACAAAGGCUUCGAAAGAAAAGGAUGAAUUUGAAGGCGAAAUCCGAUGCUACAAGUGCAAAGGCUAUGGCCACAUCGCAACGGAUUGUCCCUUUGCAAGCAAAGACGUGGGAUGAUACAACUUCAAGUGAUUCAAGUUCAAGUGAUGAAGAAAAGAAUGGAAAUCUUGCUUUAUUUGCUAAAUCUACCUUGCCUUCGUCUAACAUUAUAUGUUUAUCCUCUAUUACUACUAAUUCCAAUAUGUCUCUUUCUUCACAUGAUUCUUCGAGCGACAAUGGCAAAAGUGAGGAGGAAUCAAACGACGACGACAUAGCGGAAGCGUACAAUCAACUUCUUAUUGAAUCAAAGAAGAUGGCCAAGCUUAAUAAGAAGUUGAGGCGUCGUUUGUUGAAUCUCGAAGAGGAUAACAACAACUUGAAGACCACGAACAAAGCUCUCAAGGAGGAAAGGGAAUCAAUUUUGAAAAAUAAUUCGGACCUCCAAGAGAAGUUUAAUGAAGCGGAAUCAACGAUCAAAUCAUCUAACGACAAGAUUGGAUUUUGGAACAUCAAUUUUAUGAAUCGCACAAGUCCAAUCAAGCCUUGAUCGACCAAGUUCGUCAACUCUAAACCGACAUUCAAAAGUUCUCAUCGGGAUCGAAGAAAUUGGACUAUAUGCUCGGGUUGGGUCAAACGGAUAAAUUAGGCCUCGGAUAUGAAACAGUUUUUGUUGAGAAUGAUUCUAAAUCAACUUCGAAAGUCUCAACAACUUUGAAAGUCAAGGCGUGUCAUCGUCGAGGGAGGUUGGCGAGGCACAGGGCUGGCAGCUUGUGGCCUGGGCGGCAGCAGCGGCAGCGGCGGCGCACGGCGACGGCGGCGGUCGGCGGGGGAGGUUGGUGAGGCACAGGGCGACGCCGGUGAAGGCCCUAUAGCCUCAGCCUGGGCUCCAACCCGAGAGAAAGAGAGAUAAAGGGAGAUGGAUGGAAGAGAGAGCUACAGGGAGAAGGAACCUCAUUCUCCGGCGACGGGCAGUGUGCGCCGGCGGCUGGGGCGCAAGCCGUGCACUCAGGGAAGGGAGGAAAGGCGGUUAGGUCGGUUAGGGUGAUGCGGCUAGGGCUAGGGUUAGGGUUCCAAAGCGAAAAGCUUAAAUACGAAGCUCCAAUUUGCAGAAAAGUCCCUCAAAACUCAACAUUUCAUUCCGAGUCCCUCAUAGCACGAGUAAAGUGCACGGAUACCCCUCCACGUCCGGUUUCACGCGAUUUGGUACAUAAAAUAUCGCAACUUUUGCGAAGUUUCCGACUUUGCCAAUUCAACCCCUCAGCGAACAUUUCGCGUUUCCUGAAAAUCCGUUCGUCGGAUUUUCGAUCCGACAGCACCAUUGCGUUCAGCACGUCGGGUGCAUCGAACCUAGCAUUUUGUUUCGUCUGAUUUGGUCUCCGAUCAGCGACAAAACCUGCCCUCUCUCCAACGAAUCCACAUGUCAUAUAUAGGCCUAGGUUGAAACCCGAAAUCCGUUAAUUCAAACUCGUAUUUGAAUUCNAUCGUCAACAGAGAGUUAAGUUACACUGUCAAAAUUUCAGUCCUUACAUUAUCCCCCCCUUAAAAGAAGUUUCGUCCCCGAAACUUGACCACAUACCCAUUGAAAUCGAAAUCGGAUAUUGCUUCCACCACUAUGGUAUUACCUUUGAGUAUUGGUCAAUUACAUUUUCAUGCAUUUGGACAGAUCAAUCUCCAAGUAAGGGAGGAAUAGGACUGCAGUUCUACUCGGACAACAACGAGGGAAAAACGUACCAACCCAAAAUCUACGAACCAAACUCAUCGGAAUCAAUACCAUCCUAUAACUUGCGGACAAAGACAGUCCCGCGAUUAUCAGAUCCCAAAUCGCCAAUUCUGAGAUAAUACAUCAACACCUAGAACUUCUAGGUCCACUCAACCUUGGUCCGCACACCAGUAACCGACUCGACUACGUCGAAGGUUCACGUAGAAGAGACUCGAGUCAACACUACUUUAAUCUAGAGUCUAUUUACGUAGACUUGAAACGAAAAACUCCGACUAUCCAACAACGUCAAUCUGCUCACCACGAGCGAAUACGAAACGUCGCUCUAAGACCUGAGUCAAAACUCUCACCUUGGUGACCACAGUCUCUCAACAGUAACCACACAAUUGCCAAAACCUCCAUCAAAGGAUAGUCACAUACGACAAUCUAUAGUCAUAGGUCCAAGACCUCACUUUUCCCCUGACCAAAAAGGUCCAACCGACAAUACCAAAUACGCUAGACAAUUUGUCUUCUCAAAUGUAACCGAUACCAUUAAACCAACAUACCCACCAUGUAAGUCCAAUACUUGAUGCACAGGUCGCCAAUCGCAAAGGCGAUACAAACCAUCGGUGAUGCUCAACACCUGUCUCUACAAGACCCUGUCGCUGCCGUCCUACAAGGGACCCUAGCGAUCGAUGUUCCCAGCAACCACCCGAUUACUUGUCUCAUUGAGACCCAGGCGCACCUGUCAUCAAAUAACCAGACAAGCAAGCUAACCCAAGGUUGCACGAUAAGCCAAGUCGCAAACUUUUACGCUAUCCUAUAUGGUGACAAUCCAAGCCGACCACCAGGCUCGAGUCGCUCAACCACUAAUUCUAAACUUCAUGACUACAAACCGAGACUACUAACCCAAACAAACCUUUUAGUCGAGGAAGGCACAAUUAAAGUGCUACAAACAUCCAAACUCGAACUAGAGUCAAAAAUCCUUUAUCCGUGACGAUAAGUCCACCGUGCAAAAUCUGCAAAGGAAUAACCCAAGGCUCGCUACGUGGUCAAAGAUGACUAUCACUCGAGCUUUUUCCCACAAAACAGUCUAGAGAACACAUCGACCCAAUCCAUAAGUCCCAAACGGGAAGAUGGUAUUUCGUCCCUCUUUCAACAGUAUAUUGUCUGCAGCCAAUAUACUUAUCAAAAGAAAAGCGAAAUAUCCGAAGAUCCACUACCAACAACAAGUUGGAAGUGUGACACGUCGAAGUAUCAAGCCACCUGAUACCUCUUCACUGAACCACGAGUUCGCAACCAUUACUAUCGAAACAUCGACUUUACAAGUCGAUAUUCGAAAUCAGAACGACCCUGAACCGACUUACAGGGAGUCCUAUAACUUUCAACAUCCGAAAGCUACUAGCGACGCUAAGCCGCGAACUGAACCAACUGAGGCUUAGGAAAAGGUUUCUCUAACCGAUUUCCGUACCACAACCGAGCUAUAAUCAAAGCUCCGAGAAUUCCGUCAAUACCCUGGAAUAUCUCGAAUCAAGACGAAACCUAUAACCAACAACAAACUAACCCACAACACACCAAUUUAGGUGUUAAAAUAACCGCACACGAUGUAUGCCUUAACGAAAACUUAAUACCAAAACUGUGUCAAUUUGACUCUGGGAGGAAGAAUGAAUGAGUUCAAGGUCAAAAGAUUCGAACCGCUAAUUCCAAUCAACAAUCAAGGAGGAUGGGAAGGCAUUACAACCCCACCCAAAGAUCUGCGGAAGCAACACUAACAAUGCAGUCACCAAAACGNGAAUAGCUUAACCGUUCAAAACGAGCUAUUGGAUCGCUAUGAACGGAGUCCGAUACGCGCCGAAAGCCAGCUCUACUCCGUGGCUUCACAAAAAAAACGGAGUUACUAUUCACUUAAGUGAAAACUAAUAAUCGCGUAACUUCUCCGUUUUAGCUCAGUUUCUCCUGAAACUUGACGAGUGCUUAUGUAAUUAAAUUACACACAUAAACAUCAUCAACAGAGAGUUUAAUUGCACUGUAAAAAAAAAUCUCAGUCCUUACAUAUGAAUUAUCAGCAUAGAUGCCCUAACACUAAAUUUGAUUGAGUAUAGUAGUAUUAGUUUCUAAAUCUAUGAUAAAUAGUAGUCUAGCCAUACUCGCACUCACAAGUGUGCACAUAUUUUAAUUUAUACAUGUUCGAAAUCAAAUUGAGGAGAGUUGAAAUCAAAAUAAAUCUAAAUUAUUUGAAUUAAUUUACGACCUUGAAAAGGCCUCUAUUCAAGAUACUAUAAGUGCCAAAAACUUAUUUCUUAAGCAAUAUUGCUAAUGUCACGUGGAACAAUCAUUUUUUCUAAAAAGCUUAAGGUAUUAGAGUAAUAUCAAUUGUUUUCACAUAGUAUAUAUUUGGGAAAAUGGUUUUAAGUUCGAACCAAACCAAGAUCCUAGCUAGCCUUAAUUAAUUUUUUUUCUAUUUUAUUCAAAUUCACGUCUUGAGCUAUCCGAAAGUGUCAAGCCAAUCAAGACGUCAUGAAGGAAGUAUUAACUAUAAUAUAACAAAAGACCAUAUUUGAGUACUAUUUAUGUUUUUAGUGUAAUGGAUUAUUUCACAAAGAGUGACAAAAUUGAUCAAUAAUCUACAUUAAUUGUUCAAUGAAGGGCGCUUUUUCCAAUAAUUAAUCAUGCAAGAUAUUGGUUAAUAAGUUAGAGUUUAAUCUUUUUAAUUGUUGGUAUUAUAUCCAUACCUCUAUAAAAGUAUUAAAUUUUCAAUUUCAUGGCCUAAAUUUUCUGCUCCCUUUUUCUAAUCUGCAGUAAUAUAAAAUCGAAAACUUCUCAUUGGGAAUAUGGUAGUAGCUUAUACUAUGACUUGUACAAUCUGUAUCACAGCUUGAUUUUGAUGUUGAUGUUGUAGUGAAAUCAAGUCUUUGUGCUCUUCUCGUUAGUGGCACCUGAGUGGAUCCAAACACUUCUAGAUUGAAGCUAUUUCCUCUUCUUCAUCUUCUUCAAGGUUUGUGCUUUUUUAUUAUCGAAUUUCAAUCAAUUGUUAAUUUUAGUUAUCACUACCUACUUAUGUGUUGUUGAAAGAUCGUGCGAGGAUAUGUAAUUAUGAUUUGUCCUUUUGAUUUUGAUGUUAAACAAUGUAAUUCUUUCUAUCUUUUAUUUUAGUUUUUUUUUUCUUGAAAGUGUAGCUAUUUUGUUAUUACUAAUGUUUUAAACUUUGAACAAUUCUAAUCUUUAAGUUGUAUGUAGUAGGACCUCAAGACAUUGUCUAUACUUCGUUCUUUAUUUUCUCGCUUUCACUCUGUUGUUGUUUCUAUUUAGUAUGAUAUCAAAGUUUGGUUGUUCAUCGAAAACUUCUCAUGAUUAGUUUUGUGACAUUGGUGAAAUCUCAUUGUAUCUUAAACUUUUUAUAGAUUUUCAUAAAUUACUGCUAAUCUCUUUGUCAAUUUGCAAAAAGUUUGUCCUUUUUUAUGAAUAGAUAAAUUUCAAAUUUUGCUUCUGUAUGUUCAAAAUAGUUGUUAGGCCUUCUUAUAAUCUUUUUGAUGUGAAUGAAUUCUAAUAGUAAUCUUUCUUCUACAUUCUUAGCAAAAUAUUAAAUAACAUUGGUCAUUAUGCUAUCUCUUUGUUUAGGUAAUUUUUUGGAUUACCUUGGAUUACCUCCACCUGAUUCUAAGAAAAUGGCACCUAGUAAACGUUGGAUGGAUCUAGUUGAUGAUCGAUUAAGUGAAGCAUAUGAAAAAGGAGUUCAAAAUUUUUUGAAUUAUGCUUUUAAACGUACAGGACAAAACAAUAAAAUUCGAUGUCCUUGCGUUAAAUGUAAUAAUACAUAUUCAGAAACUCGUGAGCUAGUUGAGACGCAUUUGAAAGUCUAUGGAAUAGUUCAAAGUUAUACUUUCUGGUAUCAUCAUGGUGAAAGGUUUGGUGAGUCUCAAUCCUAGUCAGAUUAAGAUGAGGAUAACGAGGGAAUAGAAGAAGAUGAAAGUGCUGAUGAGAUGCAUGAAAUCAUAAGGGAUUUAUAUCCCGAAUUGAAUAGAAAUUUUGAGAACAAUACUACUAUAAUUGAUGAAGAUCUUGAAGAUGAACCAAACGACGGAGCAAAGUCUUUCUAUAGGUUACUCAAGGAGUCUAAUCAACCAUUAUAUGAUGGUUCCAAAUGCUCAAAAUUAUCUUUACUAAUCAAAUUGUUUCAUAUUAAGAGCCUUGGAGGAUGGAGUAAUACAUCAUUUACCAUGCUGCUUCAAUUACUAAAAGAAGAUAUUCUACCAAGUGGAACAACAUUUCCUAAUUCAUAUUAUGAGGCAAAGAAAAUUAUUGAUGAUCUUGGACUUCUUACCAAAAAAUUGAUGCAUGCAUUAACAAUUGUAUGUUAUAUUGGAAGGAGGAUGAAGAAUCUGAUGCAUGCAAAAUUUGCGGUGCUUCUAGAUGGAAGCAUGACAAAUGCAGUGGAGAAAUUAAACAAAAAGUAAAUGGUAAAAAAAUACCAUUGAAGUCAUUGCGUUAAUUUUCCAUUAAAACCUAGACUUCAAAGGUUAUUUGUUGUGGACAAUUAAUGAUUUUCCUGCUUAUGGAAAUCUAUCUGGAUGGAGUACAAAGGAAAAACUAGCAUGUCCUUGUUGCAACAAGAAUACUUUUUCUAUUAGAUUAACCAAUGGUAGCAAGCAAUGUUAUAUGGGCCAUCGACGAUAUUUGCCUAGCAAACACAAAUGGAGGAAUGAUAAAUAUUCUUUUGAUGGCACCAAGGAGCGACGUUGUGCACCAAAGCUAUUUAGCGGUGAUGAAAUCUUGGAACAAGUGCAAGAUCUUGAUGGGAUCAUCUUAACAAAAGCUGCUAAUAAAAGGGUAAAAAUAUCACACAGCAAUCGGGGUGAUAAUUGGAACAAGAAAAGUAUAUUCUUUGAACUUUCAUAUUGGAAAACCCUUUUGUUGCGUCAUAAUUUGGAUUUAAUGCAUAUUGAGAAGAAUAUAUUUGAUAAUGUACAUGGAACACUUAUGAAUAUCAAGGGAAAAACUAAGGACACAAUGAAAUCCCGUCUCGAUUUGCAAGCAAUGAAUAUAAGACCAGAGUUACAUCCAAUUCGAAAAGGGGAUAAGUUUGUUCUUCCUGCUGCCUCUUAUAUGUUAUCACCAAAUGAAAAGCACACAUUUUGCCUCUUUCUUAAGCAAUUAAGAGUUCCAGAUGGCUUCUCCUCAAAUAUAUCUCAUUGCGUAAAUCUUAAAGAACAUAAAAUUUCUGGAUUGAAAAGUUAUGAUUGUCAUAUUAUGUUGCAACGCCUACUUCCUCUUGCUCUACGUGGUCUGCUUCCUAAAGAGGUUUAUGAAUCACUUAUUGAGUUAUCUCUAUUUUUCACUGUGGUAGGCUCUAAGACACUCAAGGCAGAUGAUUUGGAUCAGAUAGAAGCUCAAAUUCCAAUAACUCUGUGUAAAUUAGAGAGAAUUUUUCCUCCUUCCUUUUUUGAUAUUAUGUUGCAUUUGCCGAUUCAUUUAGCAAAUGAAGCUAAGAUUGGAGGACCAACCCAAUAUAGGUCAAUGUACUCUAUAGAGCGGCACUUGUAUACUUUAAAAGGGUUUAUACGCAAUAGAGCUUGUCCAGAAGGUUCAAUCGCAGAAGGCCACAUUGCAAAUGAAUGUAUGACUUUUUGCUCAAGAUAUCUUCAUGGCAUUGAGACAAAAUUUAAUCGUCAUGAGCGGAAUUAUGAUGGUAAAGAUAGCACAUCUGAAGAAGGUUUAUCUAUUUUUUCUCAACUUGGAAAAGCACUAGGAGCUGGAACUCUAUAUGAUCUAGAUGCAAAUGAGCACGAGCAAGCACAACUUUAUAUUUUAAAGAAUUGUCAUGAAGUUCAACCAUUUCUCAAGUAUGAUUUCAUUGUUCAUGAACAUUACCCUUUUCUUCCUCUUUUUUUUUUUCAAUUUCUUAUGUAUAUAAUAAAUUCAUUUAUACUGUUAUGCAGAGAGUACUCACAAAUUCAUAGUAGUAGAGGAUUAGAAUUGUGUGAUAAGAACUUUAUUGAGUGGUUUAAGAUCAAGGUAAGCUCACCUUUAAUUAAUAUUUUUGUCGAUCAAUAUUAGCAAUAUAUAUAAAACGCAAUAUGUUUAAUUUAUCAUUCACUUUGUAGGUAGCGCAUCUAUGUAAGUAAGACAAAAGCUCGAUCAUUGAACACAUGCUUUCUUUGGCACGUGGUCCUACUACAUAUGUUACAUGCUAUAAUGGUUAUCUAAUAAAUGGAUAUAGGUUUCGGAUAGAAGAUCGUGACAAAGGCUUCAAGACACAAAAUUGUGGGGUGGUUGUAGUUGGUGAUACUGGUGCCGAAAUUGAAAAACAAGAUUACUAUGGGGCCUUGACGGAGGUUAUUGAAUUACAAUAUGUUGAAGGUCAUCGAGUAGUAUUAUUCCGAUGUAGUUGGUAUGAUGUAUAUGAUAAAGAAAAAGGAAUCAAAACAGAUGAAUAUGGGAUUGUUAGCGUUAAUCGUCAAAGAUUGUUGAAAACAAAUGAGCCCUUCGUAUUAGCUAAUCAAGCAUCACAAGUGUUCUAUGCUACCGACAAUAUUAAUAAAGGAUGGCAUGUUGUGUAGAAGACUCAACCUCGUGACUUAUAUGAAAUGCCACUGCAAAUGGAUUCAGAUUCUGAAGAUGUUCAAGAUGGAAUUGAUGCAUAUCAGGAAUAUGAAUCAUUCCCUCCUAUCAAUAAUUUAUCCACUUCACUAAACAUGGAUAAUGAAAUCAGCAGGAAUAGAAAUGAUAUAGAGCCAAUGAUGGUUGAUGCAGUUUCCACACAAAAGAAGAGAAAACGAAGAUCAUAAAAGAAUAAAUGCAUAUUUGUUGAUUAUGAAGACAUGAUGGUUUUGUAUAUGACUUUUUUUUGUUUAUAUGUAGAUAUAUUUAUUUUGCUUGUGAGUUUAAUUUAAUUUUGGAUGAAUUGUUCACUAUUAUAUUUUAAUAAUGAACUAAAAUUUUUUGUAAUAUGUACAGGAUGCAGCUGCCAAAAUCACGAAACGGGAAUGAUUCUAGUUCUAGAGGAGACAAGCUUACGUUUAUACCACCAGGUGCAUUGGGUAAGGGGCGCGCACAAUUUGUGUCACGCCCCGGGGUCCCUUUCGGUUUAAGAGAUAGCUGAAAAGCGUCUGAAAUUUUUUUUUUUUUGAAAACCCGACCCCAGAGUAUGUCAGAUCCGCCACAAAUAUAGGAGAUCCACUAUUCACACGGACAGAGUCUCCCCUGUAUUUGCACGGCGUUGCACAAGUACAAGAAUACAACCAGGAUACAACCACAGCUAGAUGAAUAUAAAGAUUACUAUACAUUCAUACAUUCACCAUUCACAUCACAGUUUUACAUUCAAUGUUAAAACAGAAAUCCAUGAAAAAUCCUUUUGAAAAUUGUUUCCUACACGGAAACCUUUAUUCUUUAAAAACGCUACCACGAGGGGUAGAAAACCUUUUAUUACAUUCAUGAAAAUCCACAUAUUCAAAUGUAAUAAAAAUACUGAACCAUAUAAACUAUCUAAGCUAUAUAUCAACAGAAAUAAAAAGGGUAAGAGCUAAACCGAACGACCUGGGUCGGAAGAUCUAUCGAUCGCUACGUACGUGUCUCACGUCCUGUCUGAACCUCACCGCCUGCAAUACCUGAAAAAUGGUGGGGGAGGUGAGAACAUGUAAACAUGUCUCCCCUCCCAGUGGGUACCGCAAGCCGAUGAAGGCGAGGAGUACUCACCGGAUCAGGAAGAGAUAAACAACAAUAUGGGUAAGUGGAAAUAUAACAGCAACAACAAUAAACGAAAGAGAUAUGUAAGGUAAUGAGCAGAUAAACCGAAUACAGUAGCACUAAACUGAAAGAAAGUAAGAACUAGACUGAAUAACGGCUACCGCUACUGUAACUGAAAUCGAAAGCAUACAUGAAUAUCUACUAUAGUAGCAAGACAACUAUAAAGUAAGAACUGUAAAUAUGCAUGCAACGACUGCUACUAUAGAUAUAUGCGUCAACUGACGAUAACCUCAAAAGUACCCAAUCUCGCUGCCCUAUUGGUCCGAAGACCUCAGGCCCAUGCCACACUGCUCAACCUGUACCUGACCCUCGCAAUGAAGCCCCUGGGUCAGAAGCACGGUACCUGACCCUCGCAAUGAAGCCCCUGGGUCAGAAGCAUAUACCCUCGCAAUAAAGCCCCUGGGCUCACGGGUUGGCAAUCCAACCACUUUUCCGGAAAAGAACACCCUCUUGCGGUGGAUCAGACCGCUGGUGUUCGUGAAAUGCGUACCUGUAGUGGCGAUCAAUGUAGUAUGCUCAAAGAUCUUCCAUCGGCAACUAGCCGACAAUCCAGCCCCUCAGGGCACAUCGACCGUAUAGGUCAUAGAUAUCAAAAUAGGGGAACCGCCCAACCAAAUCACAGAUAUAGUGAACAGAUAAGUCAACUCUACUUCUAAGCAUGAUAUCGACAUGGAAAUAACUGAGUAGAGGAAUGCAGAUAUAAAUGCAGGUGCAAGGUUCAAUAUAUACUCUGCAAUAAUAACAACAGAAGAGUAAGGGUAAGAAACCCGUAUCGGUCAUCAACUGUACGGAAGCAUAAGAACUGACCACUCAGGUCAACUAGGAUGGAACGACUCUACAUCCUCGCAACUAUAUGCAAGUACUGACUAAUCAAGUCAACUGGGAUGGAACAACUCAACAUCCUACCAAAAGUUUGUAGAUACUGAUCAUUAGGUCAACUACCGUAUAUAAGCAAGAAUCGACCAACAAGUCAUCUGAGUAUAUAAUCUAGAACUACCGUCGGCCACUAGCCGACAAUCCGACCCCUCAGGGUACACCGACCUCAAAGGUCAUCAAACGACAGAC